rnacentral:tmRNA from 1 species
CACCUUCUAAAUUGAGAAGAGGACGCCUAUAUAGGUCCUGUCCGGGGUAACCCAGACUAUGGCGAUAAACGGCUACGUAAUAAGCGGACUGGACCCGGGGGCGGUACCCGGCGCCUCCACCACUUCUUCCAGAGAGACCAAGUCAUUGGUUUCAAAGGACUUUGAGGGGGCGAAAUAGGAUCGACAGACGUGUAAAGGUUGUCCUUUUGCUCGGUAUGGUAUCCGCCGUCAUCGGGCUGUCUGUAUAGGUGCCAACGACAAUGAAAUGGCCCUCGCUGCCUAACUUAUAGUUAGACAAGCGCGGCUGGAGGGGUGCCGGGCAACAGAAACCCCUCGCU